AGGUUAAGUUAAUAAGGGCGCACGGUGGAUGCCUUGGCACUAGGAGCCGACGAAGGACGUGACAAACGACGAUAUGCCUUGGGUAGCUGUAAGUAAGCGAUGAUCCAGGGAUUUCCGAAUGGGGGAACCCAACAGGUAGUACCUGUUACCCACAUCUGUUAAGGAUGUGAGGAGGAAGACGCAGUGAACUGAAACAUCUAAGUAGCUGCAGGAAGAGAAAGCAAAAGCGAUUGCCUUAGUAGCGGCGAGCGAAACGGCAGGAGGGCAAACCGAAGAGUUUACUCUUCGGGGUUGUAGGACUGCAAUGUGGACUCAAAGAUUAUAGAAGAAUGAUUUGGGAAGAUCAGCCAAAGAGAGUAAUAGCCUCGUAUUUAAAAUAGUCUUUGUACUUAGCAGUAUCCUGAGUACGGCGGGACACGUGAAAUCCCGUCGGAAUCUGGGAGGACCAUCUCCCAACCCUAAAUACUCCCUAGUGACCGAUAGUGAACCAGUACCGUGAGGGAAAGGUGAAAAGCACCCCGGGAGGGGAGUGAAAUAGAACCUGAAACCGUGUGCCUACAACAAGUUCGAGCCCGUUAAUGGGUGAGAGCGUGCCUUUUGUAGAAUGAACCGGCGAGUUACGUUAUGAUGCGAGGUUAAGUUGAAGAGACGGAGCCGUAGGGAAACCGAGUCUGAAUAGGGCGCCUUAGUAUCAUGACGUAGACCCGAAACCAUGUGACCUACCCAUGAGCAGGUUGAAGGUGCGGUAAGACGCACUGGAGGACCGAACCAGGGCACGUUGAAAAGUGCUUGGAUGACUUGUGGGUAGCGGAGAAAUUCCAAACGAACUUGGAGAUAGCUGGUUCUCUCCGAAAUAGCUUUAGGGCUAGCGUCGACAUUAGAGAUUCUUGGAGGUAGAGCACUGUUUGGGUGAGGGGUCCAUCCCGGAUUACCAAUCUCAGAUAAACUCCGAAUGCCAAUGAAUUAUGGUCGGCAGUCAGACUGCGAGUGCUAAGAUCCGUAGUCGAAAGGGAAACAGCCCAGACCACCAGCUAAGGUCCCAAAAUAAUUGUUAAGUGGAAAAGGAUGUGGGGUUGCACAGACAACUAGGAUGUUAGCUUAGAAGCAGCUAUUCAUUC
rnacentral:rRNA from 1 species